rfam:Planctomycetaceae bacterium SCGC AG-212-D15 AG-212-D15.23, whole genome shotgun sequence.
CCGCCGGGCGACUCGACUGGUUUGUUGCCUCUCGACCGCGAGAGGCAACCGGGAAAACGGUGCGAAUCCGUUGCGGGACCGCCGCUGUAACCGGCCAGGCGCCUGAACACGAGUGGCCACUGUGCAAGGCAUGGGAAGGCCGUUUGGGAGCCGUUACGAGCCGGAAGCCAGAAGACCUGCCAGCCGAGCUUUACUCUC